rnacentral:ncRNA from 1 species
UCAAGCCCUUCCUUCAAAAAUUUGUGUUAGUAUUUUUUGAUGAUAUACUAAUCUAUAGCAAGUCUUGGGAGGAUCAUGUGUGACAUGUUGACAAGGUGCUACAACUACAUGCCAAACCAUCCAAAUGUUUCUUUGGAGUAAAGGAGGUAGAGUAUUUGGGUCAUAUUGUAUCACAUGAAGGUUUCAAGGUAGACCCUAACAAGAUUAAGGCCAUGAUGGACUGGCCGAUUCCCAAAACACUGAAGAAUCUUAGAGGAUUUUUGGGUUUGACAAGUUACUACCGCAAGUUUGUUCGAAACUAUGGAAGAAUAGAAGCACCUUUAAUGGCACUAACUAAUAAGGAUGCAUUUUCAUGGACUCCAGAGGCAACUAAAGCUUUUGAACAACUUAAAGAGGUGAUGUGUAAAACUCUUGUCUUGACCACUCCAGGCUUCACAAAAACCUUUAUUGUGGAAUGUGAUGCCUCAGGAAAUGGAAUUGGUGUUGUACUAAUGCAAGAAGGAAGGCCCCUAGAUUUUGAAAGAAAGCAUUUGCCAAGAAUGUUUUCAUUAAUCAAGAAUGAAAGUUGGGGGCUCGAAGACGAUUAGAUACCGUCAUAGUCUCAACCAUAAACGAUGCCGACCACUC